AUGAAAUCUUCGGAUAGAUUCAUAAACCACUUAGCGGCGGAUGGGUGAGUAACGCGUGAGGAACCUGCCUAGUACAAGGGGAUAGCCUCGGGAAACCGGGAUUAAUACCCUAUGACACUUUUAAGUCACAUGACUUUUAAGUCAAAGCGUUUAGCGGUAUUAGAUGGUCUCGCGUCCCAUUAGCUAGUUGGUGAGAUAAAAGCUCACCAAGGCGACGAUGGGUAGCCGGCUUGAGAGAGUGAACGGCCACACUGGAACUGAGACACGGUCCAGACUCC
rnacentral:rRNA from 1 species